UGCCCCAUCGGAGAUGGUUAUCAGCACAAUGAUUUAAUGCCAAGCAAUGCAAGCAGGCAGUGUAAUGUCAGUGCUAUCUCUGCUCUCACCCCUCCAGCACUUUCAUAUCCUGCCGUGGUAACGCAAAGGAUUAAAGCAAAGAUGGGAGUGCUGAUGGAAGGGAGUGGUGUUGAUCUCAUCUCGUGUGCUGGUCCCACACUCCGCACCCAUUACAAUGAAAGAUCUUGUUCUGCAAGCACCACGGCUGAAAUAAAGGUGAUGCUCUCCAUGGUUUUUGCUUUCCUCCUUCUGUAGGGAUGGACUGACCUCAGCAAGAGGAAUGUGUCUGAAAGCCAUAGGAGCUGUAUCUUCAUCACAGCCAUUUCUUCUAUCAAGGAGCUCCCAUGGGACAUCUCUCAGGAAAACAAGGAUGCAUCGGAGAACCGGCAACACAUCUCCACCAGAUAAUUAGAUUGAAAGAAAACCACCCCUCUGAAGACAAUGAGAUGAUAAAAGAGAUCAAGGUCCCUGGGAAAACUUAAUCCUCCGCUGUUUUCCAUUACUUCUCAGGUUAUUUCACUCUGCUAUUAAGAAAUUUGAUGUGCUGAUGAGUAGGAGAGAAAGCUUCCGGACUUGGAGGAAAAAAAAAAUGUUGUGUUGUGUGAGGACAGUCUAUUAAAGAUUCAGCAAUUGUACAAACCCCACA